rnacentral:lncRNA from 1 species
AGCAUUUUCCUUAUUCAUGUUACUUGUAAAUUUUUUUACUGUGAAGCAUCAAGAGUUUGUGGUGCAGGUAUACAAACCCCACAGUAAAAUUUUCUGUUUUUUUAAUGUUAUUUAUGCAUUUUCCUUAAUAAUGUUGAAUUUGUGUCAUGUUGAUAAUUAGGAGUGGAGAUGAGCCGAGCAACUUGCUGAGGACCUUCAGCUCGGCCUAUGUAAAGCUCGGCUUGACUUGUUUACUAUAAAGGUCAACCUCAAGCUUUUUAAAAAGUCUUUUUAGAUAAAAAGGCCAAGCUCAAAUCAUAAAAAAAACUUGUUAAGCUAACUAAUAAUAAUAAUAAUAAUAAUAAUAACUUUAUUUUAUCAAAUUUUAUUUUAUCCAGAUUUUAUUCUAUUUAGAUUUUAUUUUAUUCAGAUUUUAUUCUAUCUAGAUUUUAUUUCAUCCAGAUUUUAUUUCAUCCCAUCUUAUCUUGUCCAGAUUUUAUUUUAUUUCGUUUAUGCGCUUGGACUUAAAAUAGAUUUGUAAGCUUUGAGGCUGAGGACUUAUAUAACAGCACCAAGUUUUUAGUUUAGGGAGUUUUUUUUCGAAGAGGAGAAUAAUUCUAGGAUUUUAGAAUUUCAGUUUUUAUGACUGUUCAUGCACACUGUUCACGUAGAAUAAAAUUCAUUUUCGGUAAAUCAUCUCUAAUCCAUACAUUUUUUAAUAUUAUGCUAUUUUUUGACUUCAAUAUGAUUGUUUAUCAAUUAUUUUUGGAUUUGUACAUUACUUUACGAAAUUUUAUAAGUUUCUUUUUUUAGUUAGUAUUUCACUAGGUUUUAAAAUAAUUAAUUAAUCAAGACUUUUAAAUAGGUUCGUGGGCAAGCCAGACUUUUAUAUAAGUCGAACCGAGCUUAAAAAAAAGUUUAUGCCAGAUAAUGAGUCAAGCUCAAGCCUAGUAAAACUUGGCUUGGCUCAUUUUCACCCUUAUUGAUCAUCAUUCACCAAUAAUUUCUUUAAUUACACCUUUAAAUAUUUCUAUGAUGAAAAAAAAAUAUAUGGCUGAUCGAAAUGAUGCUCACCUGUCGCAGUUGACUAAAAUUGUCCAUGGCCUUGCCGGAGAACAUGUGAACGGUACAUAUUUUGCGUAGGAACCGCCACCGUGGUCCGUAGGGAUAAAA